AGCGAACACUGGCGGCAGGCUUAACACAUGCAAGUCGAGCGCCCGGCAACCGGGAGCGGCAGACGGGAGAGUAACACGUGGGAACGUGCCCUUCAGUUCGGAACAACCCAGGGAAACUUGGGCUAAUACCGGAUAAGCCCUUACGGGGAAAGAUUUAUCGCUGAAGGAUCGGCCCGCGUCUGAUUAGCUAGUUGGUGGGGUAAUGGCCCACCAAGGCGACGAUCAGUAGCUGGUCUGAGAGGAUGAUCAGCCUCACUGGGACUGAGACACGGCCCAGACUCCUACGGGAGGCAGCAGUGGGGAAUAUUGGACAAUGGGCGCAAGCCUGAUCCAGCCAUGCCGCGUGGGU
rnacentral:rRNA from 1 species